rnacentral:rRNA from 1 species
UACAGAGGUCUCAAGCGUUGUUCGGAUUCAUUGGGCGUAAAGGGUGCGUAGGUGGCGCUGUAAGUCGGGUGUGAAAUUUCGGAGCUUAACUCCGAAACUGCAUUCGAUACUGCGGUGCUUGAGGACUGGAGAGGAGACUGGAAUUCAUGGUGUAGCAGUGAAAUGCGUAGAGAUCAUGAGGAAGACCAGUGGCGAAGGCGGGUCUCUGGACAGUUCCUGACACUGAGGCGCGAAAGCCAGGGGAGCGAACGGG